AGGAUCCUCCGAGACCAAGCCCUCUUUUAAUCCAUAGAACAGGCCUUGCAUGAGCAACAGAACGGCAAACUUCCCAAUCUGCUUAGCCAAUGUGCCUCCAACCUGUUCUGCAAGGAUUCUCCCGUCUCCGCCCUAGGUGUGAGAGAGUAGAUCAGUCUCCAUAGUCCACUCUGUCCUUGGCCUCU
rnacentral:sRNA from 1 species